rnacentral:rRNA from 1 species
UGCCAGCCGCCGCGGUAAUACGGAGGGUGCAAGCGUUGUCCGGAUUUAUUGGGUUUAAAGGGUGCGUAGGUGGUCAAUUUAGUCAGUGGUGAAAGCCCACAGCUCAACUGUGGAACUGCCAUUGAUACUGGUUGACUUGAGUACAGAUGAGGUAGGCGGAAUUUAUGGUGUAGCGGUGAAAUGCAUAGAUACCAUAAAGAACACCGAUAGCGAAGGCAGCUUACUAAACUGUUACUGACACUGAGGCACGAAAGCAUGGGUAGCGAACAGGAUUAGAUA